GACGAACGCUGGCGGCGUGCCUAACACAUGCAAGUCGAACGGGGUAAAGACUUCGGUUUUUACUUAGUGGCGAACGGGUGAGUAACGCGUGAGAAACCUGCCUUUCAGUGGGGGACAACAGUUGGAAACGACUGCUAAUACCGCAUAAUGUUAUUUGGGGGCAUCCCUGAAUAACCAAAGAUUUAUUGCUGAAAGAUGGUCUCGCGUCUGAUUAGCUAGUGGGUGAGGUAACGGCUCACCAAGGCGACGAUCAGUAGCCGGUCUGAGAGGAUGAACGGCCACAUUGGGACUGAGAUACGGCCCAGACUCCUACGGGAGGCAGCAGUGGGGAAUAUUGGGCAAUGGGGGAAACCCUGACCCAGCAACGCCGCGUGAAGGAAGAAGGCCUUCGGGUUGUAAACUUCUUUUACCAGGGACGAACAAAUGACGGUACCUGGAGAAAAAGCAACGGCUAACUACGUGCCAGCAGCCGCGGUAAAAC
rnacentral:rRNA from 1 species